rnacentral:rRNA from 1 species
GACAUACUAAGAACUUUCCAGAGAUGGAUUGGUGCCUUCGGGAACUUUAGAUACAGGUGCUGCAUGGCUGUCGUCAGCUCGUGUCGUGAGAUUGUUUGGGUUAAGUCCGCAACGAGCGCAACCCUUUUUCCUUAUUUGCCAGCGGGUAAUGCCGGGAACUUUAAGGAUACUGCCAGUGACAAACUGGAGGAAGGCGGGGACGACGUCAAGUCAUCAUGGCCCUUACGGCCAGGGCUACACACGUGCUACAAUGGUCGGUACAAAGGGUUGCUACCUCGCGAGAGGAUGCUAAUCUCAAAAAGCCGAUCGUAGUCCGGAUCGCAGUCUGCAACUCGACUGCGUGAAGUCGGAAUCGCUAGUAAUCGCGGAUCAGAAUGCCGCGGUGAAUACGUUCCCGGGCCUUGUACACACCGCCCGUCACACCAUGGGAGUUUGUUGCACCAGAAGUAGGUAGUCUAACCGCAAGGAGGACGCUUACCACGGUGUGGCCGAUGACUGGGGUGAAGUCGUAACAAGGUAGGCGUAGAUGA